GUAGGUGAACCUGCGGAAGGAUCAUUGUCGAUACCUGCCCAACAAAAAGACCCGCGAACAUGUUGCACCAUGAGCAGGGGUUGGGGCUUUGGGACGGUGAUUCCCUUCGUCAUCGACCCCUAAAGUCUGUGUCCACGAUUCUCCGUGGCCUAUGACUAAACACACAAACAAUCGGCGUGAUUGACGCCAAGGAACUCAUAAUGGAAGAGGUGUGCCAUCAUUAUGCCUUUGGCAUAGCGAUGUGUCAUCUUCAAUCCAAAUGUCAUGAAAUGACUCUCGGCAACGGAUAUCUCGGCUCUCGCAUCGAUGAAGAACGUAGCGAAAUGCGAUACUUGGUGUGAAUUGCAGAAUCCCGUGAACCAUCGAGUCUUUGAACGCAAGUUGCGCCCCAAGCCAUCGGGCUGAGGGCACGCCUGCCUGGGCGUCACGCAUUAUGUUGCCCAUCCACUAUCUUUGCCCCAAGGUUGUGUGAGAAUGGAGCAGAGAUUGGCCCCCCAUACCCUCGUGGAGGAUGUGGUCGGCCCAAAUGCAAGGGUCCCAUGGUGGCGAGCUUCGCGACGAGUGGUGGUCUAGGGACACUUCACCAUAGCUCGAAGUUGAGUGUGCUUUGCCUACUUUUGGGCAUGUAGAACCCGAUCACGCGUCAUCUUGCGAUGAACGCUCUGAAUGCGACCCCAGUCAGGCAAGGA
rnacentral:rRNA from 1 species